GACGAACGCUGGCGGCGUGCUUAACACAUGCAAGUCGAACGGAAAGGCCCUGCUUUUGUGGGGUGCUCGAGUGGCGAACGGGUGAGUAACACGUGAGUAACCUGCCCUUGACUUUGGGAUAACUUCAGGAAACUGGGGCUAAUACCGGAUAGGAGUUCCUGCUGCAUGGUGGGGGUUGGAAAGUUUCGGCGGUUGGGGAUGGACUCGCGGCUUAUCAGCUUGUUGGUGGGGUAGUGGCUUACCAAGGCUUUGACGGGUAGCCGGCCUGAGAGGGUGACCGGCCACAUUGGGACUGAGAUACGGCCCGGACUCCUACGGGAGGCAGCAGUGGGGAAUAUUGCACAAUGGGCGGAAGCCUGAUGCAGCAACGCCGCGUGCGGGAUGACGGCCUUCGGGUUGUAAACCGCUUUCGCCUGUGACGAAGCGUGAGUGACGGUAAUGGGUAAAGAAGCACCGGCUAACUACGUG
rnacentral:rRNA from 1 species